rnacentral:rRNA from 1 species
CGUAGGGGGCUAGCGCUGUCCGGAAUCAUUGGGCGUAAAGCGCGUGUAGGCGGUUCGGUAAGUCCGCUGUGAAAGUCGGGGGCUCAACCCUCGAAAGCCGGUGGAUACUGUCGGACUAGAGUGCGGAAGAGGCGAGUGGAAUUCCUGGUGUAGCGGUGAAAUGCGCAGAUAUCAGGAGGAACACCAAUUGCGAAGGCAGCUCGCUGGGACGUUACUGACGCUGAGACGCGAAAGCGUGGGGAGCAAACAGGAUUAGAUACCCUGGUAGUCCACGCCGUAAACGAUGGGCACUAGGUGUGGGGGGUGUCGACUCCCUCCGUGCCGAAGCUAACGCAUUAAGCGCCCCGCCUGGGGAGUACGGCCGCAAGGCUA